rnacentral:rRNA from 1 species
CCUACGGGAGGCAGCAGUGGGGAAUAUUGGACAAUGGGGGGAACCCUGAUCCAGCCAUGCCGCGUGUGUGAAGAAGGCCCUCGGGUUGUAAAGCACUUUCAGUGAGGAAGAACGCCUGGUGGUUAAUACCCAUCAGCAAAGACAUCACUCACAGAAGAAGCACCGGCUAACUCCGUGCCAGCAGCCGGGGUAAUACGGAGGGUGCGAGCGUUAAUCGGAAUUACUGGGCGUAAAGCGCGCGUAGGUGGCUUGAUAAGCCGGUUGUGAAAGCCCCGGGCUCAACCUGGGAACGGCAUCCGGAACUGUCAAGCUAGAGUGCCGGAGAGGAAGGUAGAAUUCCCGGUGGAGCGGUGAAAUGCGUAGAGAUCGGGAGGAAUACCAGUGGCGAAGGCGGCCUUCUGGACUGACACUGACACUGAGGUGCGAAAGCGUGGGUAGCAAACAGGAUUAGAUACCCCGGUAGUC